CCAAGUGGCUAUAAUGCAGCAUUCUUUUGGUCAGGGCGCAGUCAGUAGCACCUCUGUCCUUUAUGUUUUAACGUUUUGUUAAAGCAGAGGGAAAGAAAAAUUCUCCUGAGCUGGGCGAAUGGUGUGCGUUAAUAUGGAUGGAAAGCUCGGCGUCACGCUAGUACGAAGCGUCUUUAGAUUUUCACAUCAGCUAAGAGUGCAGGGGUCAAAAUUCACUGAGGACCCUAGUUCAUUCUUCUCUAAUUUGUCAAGUUUUAGCUCUGUCUGUCUUACCAGUACAUCCAAUAAUACGACGCGAGACCCUGGUUAAACGACGAACCUGCGUGAUUGUUUUGGAUCAUUCCAGUGAAGCGAUGAUGGACGGGGAAGGAAAAGCAACAAGUGUAUCCCAAUAAGACUACAUGUGACCCUUUGAGGACACAUUUUCCACGUUUCAUUCAUCUAACGGUUAGCCUGCAGACAAUCAGAAGAAGGAACAUGACAAGAAACAGGUCAUCUUCCAGCGGGCCUCCGGAACCACACUGUCACAUGACACGAGAGGCCAGAGUUUUGCUAAACCCCCAGAAAGGACCGACAUAACUGAUGAAAGCCGUCCAGAAAAUGCAGAUAACGAACAACAACAAGAAUGUGUCUCACAACCUCGCGGAAUUAUUUGUAACAAAGUCGUUAUGCAUUUGAACAUAAAGACAAAAUUUGUCACCCCAAACAUAUUGGGUCAGCGACCGCAAAAUACCUACUUGUACAGUGAAAUGGAAUAGCCUACUGAACGAGAAGGGGACGUUAAAACAAGGAGAAAAAUGUACACCAUCCUCAAUCAAGACUGUACUAACUCAUCAGUGUUUCUGAGGAGAAGAGGAGCGCGGCUUCAUUGAGCGACAAGAAACCCCCGCUGAGAUUCGCUGCCUCAGAAAGAGCACGUAUGCUUUAUACGAGUGACCAGCUAGAGCUUGAGAAGUUUCACUUCAGCAUAUUUGUACAGGCGGAGACCUGUGGAAAUGGCCAGUUUACGCAAACUUACUGAGAAGAAAAUAAAAAUCUGCUUUCAGAACCGGAGGAUGAGAGAAAAAAGACUGUAUAGGCUGAAAAGAAUGUCUUUCUUAGCUGGACCAUCUCUGAUCAACAACCUACCACCACCGUCUUGAGUGAAGCUUCAGUAGAUUGAUUUAUCUAUGGUGACUCAGGUGAAACGUCCUCCGCGAAUAGAGGUAUAUCUGGGUAUGGUUAUCCAGUAUACAUUAAUGGCAUUCUCUGUCUCUUCUGGACAGUUUACAUAAAACUAUUCUGUCAUGUUCCCAGAGCGUAGCCAAUAAUAAAGUCCCCCUUUUAAAAUGAUUAAAUGCCACUUUCAUGUAAUAUUUCCAAAACGAAUGUUUAAUGGUAAAUAAGCAUUAUAGUAAUGUACUUGAUUGUUUUAAUAACGUUACUCUUAAUAAAUCAGUCAAAUUAUUGUGUGAACAUGAAUAGUCCCACGAAUUAGACAUUUUGCGUGUUGUGGUGUAUUUAUUUAGUUAUUGCUUCUCGCGAUGUUAAUUUGAAAUGAUCUAAUCAUUUUAUCUCUGACAACUUACAAUUCUUAUUAAUAAUUUCCUGUAGGUUAUCGAAUGGAGUAUGUCACCUGUAUUAAAAAAAAAAUGGUUUUAGGUUUAUCUAAAAGUCGAAUUAGGCUAUAGCCUAGGAAUAAAAAAA